UAGGGAAUCUUCGGCAAUGGACGGAAGUCUGACCGAGCAACGCCGCGUGAGUGAAGAAGGUUUUCGGAUCGUAAAGCUCUGUUGUUAGAGAAGAACGUUGGUAGGAGUGGAAAAUCUACCAAGUGACGGUAACUAACCAGAAAGGGACGGCUAACUACGUGCCAGCAGCCGCGGUAAUACGUAGGUCCCGAGCGUUGUCCGGAUUUAUUGGGCGUAAAGCGAGCGCAGGCGGUUCUUUAAGUCUGAAGUUAAAGGCAGUGGCUUAACCAUUGUACGCUUUGGAAACUGUAGGACUUGAGUGCAGAAGGGGGGAGGGGAAUUCCAUGUGUAGCGGGGAAAUGCGUAGAUAUAUGGAGGAACACCGGUGGCGAAAGCGGCUCUCUGGUCUGUAACUGACGCUGAGGCUCGAAAGCGUGGGGAGCAAACAGG
rnacentral:rRNA from 1 species